rnacentral:rRNA from 1 species
UAAGCGGAGGAAAAGAAACUAACAAGGAUUCCCCUAGUAACGGGCGAGUGAAGCGGGAAGAGCUCAAAUUUGAAAUCUGGUAGCCUUCGGUUGCCCGAGUUGUAAUCUAGAGAAGUGUUUUCCGCGUUGGCCCAUGUACAAGUCCCUUGGAACAGGGCGUCAUAGAGGGUGAGAAUCCCGUCCUUGACAUGGACCCCCAAUGCUUUGUGAUACACUUUCAACGAGUCGAGUUGUUUGGGAAUGCAGCUCAAAAUGGGUGGUGAAUUCCAUCUAAAGCUAAAUAUUGGCGAGAGACCGAUAGCGAACAAGUACCGUGAGGGAAAGAUGAAAAGCACUUUGGAAAGAGAGUUAAACAGUACGUGAAAUUGUUGAAAGGGAAACGAUUGAAGUCAGUCAUGCUCUUUGGAUUAAGCCGUUCUGCGGUGUAUUUCAUUGAGCGGGGUCAACAUCAGUUUUGAUCGCUGGAAAAGGGCAGGAGGAAGGUAGCACUCUCGGGUGAACUUAUAGCCUCUUGUCGUAUACAGUGAUUGGGACUGAGGAACGCAGCAUGCCUUUUGGCCGGGAUUCGUCCACGUACCAUGAUUAGGAUGUUGACAUAAUGGCUUUAAACGACCCGUCUUGAAACAC